rnacentral:rRNA from 1 species
UACGUAGGGUCCGAGCGUUGUCCGGAAUUACUGGGCGUAAAGAGCUCGUAAGGUGGUUUGUCGCGUUGUUCGUGAAAACUCACAGCUUCAACUGUGGGCGUGCGGGCGAUACGGGCAGACUGAGUACUGCAGGGGAGACUGGAAUUCCUGGUGUAGCGGUGGAAUGCGCAGAUAUCAGGAGGAACACCGGUGGCGAAGGCGGGUCUCUGGGCAGUAACUGACGCUGAGGAGCGAAAGCGUGGGGAGCGAACAGG